CCCUUAGAUGUUCUGGGCCGCACGCGCGCUACACUGAUGCAUUCAACAAGCCUAGCCUUGACCGAGAGGUCCGGGUAAUCUUUGAAACUGCAUCGUGAUGGGGCUAGAUUAUUGCAAUUAUUAAUCUUCAACGAGGAAUGCCUAGUAAGCGUGAUUCAUCAAAUCGCGUUGAUUACGUCCCUGCCCUUUGUACACACCGCCCGUCGCUCCUACCGAUUGGGUGAGCCGAUGAAACUCUCGGAUGUAGGCUAUUCAUAGCCCGCAGAAGAGAUUUGAAUCGUAGCGCUUAGAGGAAGGAGAAGUCGUAACA
rnacentral:rRNA from 1 species